UACGUAGGUGACAAGCGUUGUCCGGAUUUACUGGGCGUAAAGGGCGCGUAGGCGGCGUGGUAAGUCACUUGUGAAAUCUCUGAGCUUAACUCAGAACGGCCAAGUGAUACUGCUGUGCUAGAGUGCAGAAGGGGCAAUCGGAAUUCUUGGUGUAGCGGUGAAAUGCGUAGAUAUCAAGAGGAACACCUGAGGUGAAGACGGGUUGCUGGGCUGACACUGACGCUGAGGCGCGAAAGCCAGGGGAGCAAACGGG
rnacentral:rRNA from 1 species